rnacentral:rRNA from 1 species
CACUCCUGCGGGAGGCAGCAGUGGGGAAUUUUGGACAAUGGGCGAAAGCCUGAUCCAGCAAUGCCGCGUGCAGGAUGAAGGCCUUCGGGUUGUAAACUGCUUUUGUACGGAACGAAAAAGCUCCUUCUAAUACAGGGGGCCCAUGACGGUACCGUAAGAAUAAGCACCGGCUAACUACGUGCCAGCAGCCGCGGUAAUACGUAGGGUGCGAGCGUUAAUCGGAAUUACUGGGCGUAAAGCGUGCGCAGGCGGUUAUGUAAGACAGAUGUGAAAUCCCCGGGCUCAACCUGGGAACUGCAUUUGUGACUGCAUGGCUAGAGUACGGUAGAGGGGGAUGGAAUUCCGCGUGUAGCAGUGAAAUGCGUAGAUAUGCGGAGGAACACCGAUGGCGAAGGCAAUCCCCUGGACCUGUACUGACGCUCAUGCACGAAAGCGUGGGGAGCAAACAGGAUUAGAAACCCGGGUAGUCCCAUGAU